UUUUAAAGCUGACAAGCAUCUUCCUGAGGCGUCCGAGCUGAAGCCCUGGGAGCGGAUCCAGAUGCCCCCACCCACAAGGGCGCAGGGCGCCAGGCGGGCGGUGCGCUAGGUAACGAGGACCGCCUUCGCGGAGCACCCACGGUGGGCUGGGGCCGACAACAUCGUUAGAGCAAAUUGGUUUCCACGGGCUCCUUUUUAAGUGAGGGAACACGGCGGCACCACCGCUUCCUCCCCAAAGAGGAUUCACCGCAUCCCUGCCCGCCUGAAACCUGAUUGGACGCUGCAGGCUGGAGCUUUCGUAAACGAAGAAGCCUGAUGCUAUCGGGCCCAGAAUUGGCCAGAGAGGGAUUCACUACAGACAGGACCACUCAGAAAAACAGUUCUGUCUCUUGGUUGAUGACAUCUUCCUUCAUUCUUUGAUCCAAACCAACAUUUAGCCACUUUGGAUGGAUGGCUGUUUUUCUGCUUAUAUCCAGUUAGUUGAUAAGUCCAUUCAUUCAACCUCUAGAUCCAUCAUUCCCUUUUCAUUCUCAUGCCCUAAGUCAGUCCCUCAUGGUCCACACCCAGAAUAUUGUGGUGACCAUCGUCCCUCCCAACUGGCUUCCACUGUUAAUCUCUUACCCUGCCAACCCAUUCUUUAU